rnacentral:rRNA from 1 species
AUGUGCACACUUGUCAUCUUUUUAUCUCCACCUGUGCACCUAUUGUAGACCUGGAUAACUCUCUGAGUGCUAGCAUUCAGGUAUGAGGAUUGACUUUCCGUCUCUUCUUACAUUUCCAGGCCUAUGUUCUUUUAUAUAACCUCAAUGUAUGUCAAGGAAUGUGUAAUACUAUGGGCUUUUAUGCCUCAUAAACCUUAUACAACUUUCAGCAACGGAUCUCUUGGCUCUCGCAUCGAUGAAGAACGCAGCGAAAUGCGAUAAGUAAUGUGAAUUGCAGAAUUCAGUGAAUCAUCGAAUUUUUGAACGCACCUUGCACUCCUUGGUAUUCCGAGGAGUAUGCCUGUUUGAGUGUCAUUAAUAUAUCAACCUCCUAGCAUUGGAGUGUUUGGAUGGGUGGGGGUUUGCUGGCCUCUCGAGGUCAGCUCCUCUGAAAUGCAUUGGCAGAAUGAUUUGCUCACUGUUCAUUGGUGUGAUAACUAUCUACGCUAUUGACGGUUGAAAAGCAGUUCAGCUUAUAACAGUCCAUUGACUUUGGACAACAUAUUUUAUUAAUGUGACCUCAAAUCAGGUAGGACUACCCGCUGAACUUAAGCAUAUCAAUAAGCGGAGGAAAAGAAA